GAUGAACGCUGGCGGCGUGCCUAAUACAUGCAAGUCGAGCGAAUGGAUUAAGAGCUUGCUCUUAUGGAGUUAGCGGCGGACGGGUGAGUAACACGUGGGUAACCUGCCCAUAAGACUGGGAUAACUCCGGGAAACCGGGGCUAAUACCGGAUAACAUUUUGAACGGCAUGGUUCGAAAUUGAAAGGCAGCUUCGGCUGUCACUUCUGGAUGGACCCGCGUCGCAUUAGCUAGUUGGUGAGGUAACGGCCCACCAAGGCAACGAUGCGUAGCCGACCUGAGAGGGUGAUCGGCCACACUGGGACUGAGACACGGCCCAGACUCCUACGGGAGGCAGCAGUAGGGAAUCUUCCGCAAUGGACGAAAGUCUGACGGAGCAACGCCGCGUGAGUGAUGAAGGCUUUCGGGUCGUAAAACUCUGUUGUUAGGGAAGAACAAGUGCUAGUUGAAUAAGCUGGCACCUUGACGGUACCUAACCAGAAAGCCACGGCUAACUACGUGCCAGCCGCCGCCGUAA
rnacentral:rRNA from 1 species